AUUGAACGCUGGCGGCAUGCCUUACACAUGCAAGUCGAACGGUAACAGGUUAAGCUGCCGAAUGGCGAACGGGUGAGUAAUGUAUCGGAACGUGCCCAGUCGUGGCGGAUAACUGCUCGAAAGAGCAGCUAAUACCGCAUACGACCUGAGGGUGAAAGCGGGGGAUCGCAAGACCUCGCGCGAUUGGAGCGGCCGAUAUCAGAUUAGGUAGUUGGUGAGGUAAAGGCUCACCAAGCCGACGAUCUGUAGCUGGUCUGAGAGGACGACCAGCCACACUGGGACUGAGACACGGCCCAGACUCCUACGGGAGGCAGCAGUGGGGAAUUUUGGACAAUGGGCGCAAGCCUGAUCCAGCCAUGCCGCGUGCGGGAAGAAGGCCUUCGGGUUGUAAACCGCUUUUGUCAGGGAAGAAAAGGUUCUGGCUAAUACCUGGGACUCAUGACGGUACCUGAAGAAUAAGCACCGGCUAACUACGUG
rnacentral:rRNA from 1 species